UUGUUUGCAAGCAUGCAGAAGAACAUGGAAUUGAAAAUCCUAUCGUUACUUACGACCAGCCCCUUUGGCAUAAGGCAUUCUCGCUGAUCAACACUGAGUCUCAAGACAGUAAACUGCGAAAGAUUAUUCCUAGACUUGGCUCUUUCCAUACUUUGAUGAGCUUUCUUGGCAGUAUUGGUCACUUAAUGGCGGGUUCGGGAUUGAAGGAGCUGCUGGAGUUGAUAUACGCACCCAACGCUGUGGAACAUAUGCUCUCUGGAAAGCUGUUUCUAGAGCUCUACGUGGUCAUUUAAUCGUCGACGCUGCACUUAACGCCUUACUAUACUCAGCCACACUUGGUGUACAAGUACCAUGUUUAGAUUCUACUGAUGACGCUGAUUUUGAUGAAGACAUUGAUGAUGGUUCAAAUAUAACUGAUGAAUCUUUUCAUGCUGCUUAUGAAGAUGCGACAAACACAGAAAUCGUAGAUGACAUCAUCUCAACACAAGACACGUCCAAUGAAAUUCAGCGCUUGGAAGGAGUGCCUGAA